rnacentral:tRNA from 2 species
GCUGGUGUGCUGGAACUGGUAGACAGUGCAGACUUAAAAUCUGUUGAUAUUUAUAUCGUGAGGGUUCGAUUCCCUUCACCAGUA